rnacentral:rRNA from 1 species
AGUGAACGCUGGCGGUAGGCCUAACACAUGCAAGUCGAACGGCAGCACAGGAGAGCUUGCUCUCUGGGUGGCGAGUGGCGGACGGGUGAGGAAUACAUCGGAAUCUGCCCAGUCGUGGGGGAUAACGUAGGGAAACUUACGCUAAUACCGCAUACGACCUUCGGGGGAAAGGGGGGGAUCGCAAGACCUCUCGCGAGUGGAUGAGCCGAUGUCGGAUUAGCUAGUUGGCGGGGUAAUGGCCCACCAAGGCGACGAUCCGUAGCUGGUCUGAGAGGAUGAUCAGCCACACUGGAACUGAGACACGGUCCAGACUCCUACGGGAGGCAGCAGUGGGGAAUAUUGGACAAUGGGCGCAAGCCUGAUCCAGCCAUACCGCGUGGGUGACGAAGGCCUUCGGGUUGUAAAGCCCUUUUGUUGGGAAAGAAAUCUUUCAGGCUAAUACCCUGGGAGGAUGACGGUACCCAAAGAAUAAGCACCGGCUAACUUCGUG